GAUGAACGCUGGCGGCGUGCCUAAUACAUGCAAGUCGAGCGACCAGACGGUGAGCUCUUUCCCUUGCCGUUGGCGGCUGGCGGGCGAGUAACGCGUGCAUCACCUACUUCUUAGACUGGGAUAAUUUCGGGAAAACGGAUACACUACUACCGAAUAUAACCUACCGCAUGGUUCAAUAGUUCUUGACGGCUUUGCCGUCACUUAUAGCUGAAUCCGUGCCGGAUUAGCUAGUUGGUAAGGUAACGGCUUACCAAGGCGACGAUGCGUAGCCGACCUGAGAGGGUGAUCGGCCACACUGGAACUGAGACACGGUCCAGACUCCUACGGGAGGCAGCAGUAGGGAAUCUUGGACAAUGGGCGAAAGCCUGACGGAGCAACGCCGCGUGAGUGAAGAAGGCCUUCGGGUUGUAAAGCUCUUUUAUUAGGAAAGAACAGAUGUGGGAGUAACUAUGCACGUCUUGACGGUACCUAAUGAGAAAGCAACGGCUAACUACGUG
rnacentral:rRNA from 1 species